UAUUUCCUACGGGGGGCAGCAGUGAGGAAUAUUGGUCAAUGGACGCAAGUCUGAACCAGCCAUGCCGCGUGCAGGAUGACGGCUCUAUGAGUUGUAAACUGCUUUUGUACGAGGGUAAUAUCAGAUACGUGUAUCUGCUUGAAAGUAUCGGACGAAUAAGGAGCGGCUAACUCCGUGCCAGCAGCCGCGGUAAUACGGAGGAUCCAAGCGUUAUCCGGAUUUAUUGGGUUAAAAGGGUGCGUAGGCGGGUUUAUAAGUUAGAGGUGAAAAUUCGGGGCUCAA
rnacentral:rRNA from 1 species